AACGAACGCUGGCGGCGUGUUUAAGACAUGCAAGUCGCACGGUGUCAUUUUGGUAGCAAUACUUGAAUGGCAUAGUGGCGCACGGGUGAGUAACACGUGAAUUACAUGCCCUGUAGAGGGGGAUAGCCCAGGGAAACUUGGAUUAAUACCCCAUGGUCUCGCAAGAGUAAAGGUGGCCGCAAGGCUGUCGCUACAGGAUUGGUUCGCGCCCUAUCAGCUAGUUGGCGGGGUAACGGCCCACCAAGGCUACGACGGGUACCUGGUCUGAGAGGACGAUCAGGCACACUGGAACUGAGACACGGUCCAGACACCUACGGGUGGCAGCAGUCGAGAAUAAUUCACAAUGGGGGCAACCCUGAUGGCGCAACGCCGCGUGGAGGAUGACGGUCUUCGGAUUGUAAACUCCUGUCAUCCGGGAGUAAGACCUGGGCAUGAAUAGUGCACAGGGUUGAUAGUACCGGAAGAGGAAGGGACGGCUAACUUCGUGCCAGCAGCCGCGGUAACAC
rnacentral:rRNA from 1 species